CCCUGAAUGCACGAGAAGAGCACUGGUCAUAAUGAUUCCUGUGAGUCUUUCCUUGGCAGUAUUAUGCAUAUUGAAUAUUUGGACAAUAGAAUACGCUGCAGGCUGUGGGGAACAGUAUGAGAAAGAUGGGCGAUGCUGUGACCAGUGUGCCCCAGGUCAAUAUAUGAAGGACUUUUGCAAAGAGAACCAGCAAACAAUCUGUAGUCCCUGUGAAGAGGGCACCUACUCUCAACAAUUUAACCUGUUUGACAGAUGUGAGAAAUGCCGGUCAUGCCAACAUAAAUACAAUGAGAAAUGCACGGCGACCACAAAUACAAAUUGUUCGUGCAACUAUGGUUUCCUGUGCUCCAACAAUGUCUGUUCAGAGUGUGAGGAAAACAAAUGCGUCACAGGGGAAACACUGAAGAGAACAGAUAAUCAUCCUAUGGAAGUCCUAGCAGUCUCCACCAACGCCAGUGACUUUCAUCUGUCGAAGGAGGAGAGUGGGCGUGAGCUCAUCAUGCAGGAUGAAUCCAAGAACAGCAACAGUAUUGGCCUACUGCAUCUGGAGGAAGUCGGCACUUGUUGAUAACAAGUCUAAGAGGAGACAAUCAGUCUGUUUACUAUAAUGAUAUUAAUGUAAUGGUACAAAGUAUCUUCCUCGUUAUCAGCACACAUUUAAAUAUACAAACCUGCUAAAGUUAGAGAUGCACACUUCUGAAGGAAAGGUCCCUGGUUGUCUGACCAACAUGUGAAGGUAUGAUGAGAAAGGUUUGAAACCAUGGUCCAAUUAUGUGAUGAGUCCUACUUUCAGCUUUUUUUUAGAGUGAAUUGUUCUUCUUUUUGCCUGAUUUGGUUAAACAUCGGUUUUAUAUUCUAAUGUGAAUAUUGCAAAAAUACUUGCAAUAAAGCAAAGUAUUAUACAGGGUGUAUUAUACUGUUAAGUGUAUUACCAACUAAUCUAUCAUUGUAAUAAACUGUUGCAUCUAAACCCAAAAACAAAAAACAAAAAACAAACACACAUGAUUAUACAAGACCAUGUACAACAAAGGAUAUGACAUACAAGAGCCAAGACCUGUUGUUUGUGCUCACAGAUUAUAGUCCCAGUAUUAAAGUUAUUCUUCCCCCCUGUGUUUUUGUUUGUUUUGUUAUGUAUGCAUGUAUUUAUGCUGGGACAGCAGCAUAAGAAAGGUGU
rnacentral:lncRNA from 1 species